GAUGAACGCUGGCGGCGUGCCUAAUACAUGCAAGUCGAGCGAACGGACGAGAAGCUUGCUGCUCUGAUGUUAGCGGCGGACGGGUGAGUAACACGUGGAUAACCUACCUAUAAGACUGGGAUAACUUCGGGAAACCGGAGCUAAUACCGGAUAAUAUUUUGAACCGCAUGGUUCAAAAGUGAAAGACGGUCUUGCUGUCACUUAUAGAUGGAUCCGCGCUGCAUUAGCUAGUUGGUAAGGUAACGGCUUACCAAGGCAACGAUGCAUAGCCGACCUGAGAGGGUGAUCGGCCACACUGGAACUGAGCCACGGUCCAGGCUCCUACGGGACGCAGCAGUAGGGUAUCUUCCGCAAUGGGCGAAAGCCUGACGGAGCAACGCCGCGUGAGUGGUGAAGGUCUUCGGAUCGUAAAACUCUGUUAUUAGGGAAGAACAUAUUUGUAAGUAACUGUGCACAUCUUGACGGUACCUAAUCAGAAAGCCACGGCUAACUACGUG
rnacentral:rRNA from 1 species